AAAAUAACAAUACCGGGCGUUUUUACGUCUGGUAAUUGGAAUGAGUACAAUUUAAAUCCCUUAACGAGUAUCCAUUGGAGGGCAAGUCUGGUGCCAGCAGCCGCGGUAAUUCCAGCUCCAAUAGCGUAUAUUAAAGUUGCUGCAGUUAAAAGCUCGUAGUUGGAUUUCUGGGCAUCAGCUUCUGGCCGGCCACGGUUUCGUGUGUUAGUGCUAGAAGCUUUGUCCAUCCUUCCAAUCGCCAUGCACUCCUCUUCAUUGAUGGGUGUGUGGUAUUGGAUCUUUUACUUUGAAAAAAUUAGAGUGUUUCAAGCAGGCUUUAUGCUAUGAAUACAUUAGCAUGGAAUAAUAAUUUAGGACUUCGGUUCUAUUUUGUUGGUUUCUAGGACUGAAGUAAUGAUUGAUAGGGAUAGUUGGGGGUGCUAGUAUUCAGCGGCCAGAGGUGAAAUUCUUGGAUUCGCUGAAGACUAACUUAUGCGAAAGCAUUCACCAAGGAUGUCUUCUUUAAUCAAGAACGAAAGUUGGGGGAUCGAAGACGAUCAGAUACCGUCGUAGUCUCAACCAUAAACUAUGCCGACUAGGGAUGAGUGAACGUUGCAUUUUCGACUUCAUUCGCACCUUAUGAGAAAUCAAAGUCUUUGGGUUCCGGGGGGAGUAUGGUCGCAAGG
rnacentral:precursor_RNA from 1 species